GCCUGUGAGAUAGCUCAUUUGGUAGAACAUACUGUAAGACUCUUAAUCUCAGGAUUGCGGGUUUGAGCCCCACAUUGGGCA